rnacentral:rRNA from 1 species
GCGGCAGGCCUAACACAUGCAAGCCGAGCGGAUGACGGGAGCUUGCUCCUUGAUUCAGCGGCGGACGGGUGAGUAACACGUGGGAACGUGCCUUUAGGUUCGGAAUAACUCAGGGAAACUUGUGCUAAUACCGAAUGUGCCCUUCGGGGGAAAGAUUUAUCGCCUUUAGAGCGGCCCGCGUCUGAUUAGCUAGUUGGUGAGGUAAAGGCUCACCAAGGCGACGAUCAGUAGCUGGUCUGAGAGGAUGAUCAGCCACAUUGGGACUGAGACACGGCCCAAACUCCUACGGGAGGCAGCAGUGGGGAAUCUUGCGCAAUGGGCGAAAGCCUGACGCAGCCAUGCCGCGUGAAUGAUGAAGGUCUUAGGAUUGUAAAAUUCUUUCACCGGGGACGAUAAUGACGGUACCCGGAGAAGAAGCCCCGGCUAACUUCGUGCCAGCAGCCGCCGUAACAC